GACGAACGCUGGCGGCGUGCCUAAUACAUGCAAGUCGAACGCUAAGGGCGGGCCUUGCUUCUCUGGAUGAGUUGCGAACGGGUGAGUAACGCGUAAGUAACCUGCCUGUUACUGGGGGAUAACUACUGGAAACGGGAGCUAAUACCGCAUAAGAGCACAUGCUGCAUGGUAUUGGUUGGAAAGUUUCGGUGGCUGGGGUAGGAGUCGCGGCUGAUCAGCUUGUUGGAGGGGUAGGGGCAUACCAAGGCCUUGACGGGUAGCCGGCCUGAGAGGGUGACCGGCCACAUUGGGACUGAGAUACGGCCCGGACUCCUACGGGGGGCAGCAGUGGAGAAUAGUGCACAAUGGGCGGAAGCCUGAUGCAGCAACGCCGCGUGCGGGAGGACGGCCUUCGGGUUGUAAACCGCUUUCGCCUGUGACGAAGCGUGAGUGACGGUAAUGGGUAAAGAAGCACCGGCUAACUACGUG
rnacentral:rRNA from 1 species